rnacentral:rRNA from 1 species
UACGUAGGGUGCAAGCGUUGUCCGGAAUUAUUGGGCGUAAAGAGCUCGUAGGCGGUUUGUCGCGUCUGCUGUGAAAUCCCGAGGCUCAACCUCGGGCUUGCAGUGGGUACGGGCAGACUAGAGUGCGGUAGGGGAGAUUGGAAUUCCUGGUGUAGCGGUGGAAUGCGCAGAUAUCAGGAGGAACACCGAUGGCGAAGGCAGAUCUCUGGGCCGUAACUGACGCUGAGGAGCGAAAGCAUGGGGAGCGAAC